ACAACAAAUAUGAAACAAAACUGUGCGGCACCUUCUGGGACAGUGGACUUCAACUUUCAGUGUCGGAACUGAUUGGCCAAUUCUAGUCAUUCAAUCACGGGUGGGACAAGACUUUAAUCAUGAGGAUCACUGUUUUGCCUCCUCUCCUUGUGGGUUUUCCAGUCAUGUCUUGGAGGAGACCCCCAGAAAGCAUUGGGAUCCCCCUGGAGGAGACGUGAUGUGGGUUUUCCUUAUGGACCUGGAUGGAUGGAUCUUAUCUUCUAUUUUACUAGUCGCAGUGACCUCAGGUGCAUCCCGGACGGGCCCCCUCGCACGCAGAGGUGAGAACACCUCAGAGGAGCGCGGAGCAGUGAUGGAAGGAGGAGGAGAAGAAAACAUCUGAGCAGAGGGAUUACUGACUGCUUCCCUGCUUCUCCUCUCACAUCAGUGAGCUGACGGCUGAACGAUGCAGCGUUCACCUGCCUGGAUCUGCUCAGGUCCUCGUCCGGGUCCCACCUACCGCUCGUGACGAUUACUUCUAUAACGAAUGAAGUGRCGUCUGAAGUUUCCUGCAGCAGACUGGUGAGUUCUGAUUGAGUUUAUUUGAACUUUUUGCACACAUUCUCAGUCUUUCCUCACUCAGCUGCACUGCAACCUUUAUUUAAGUCUUUGUUUGGCAUAUUCUCUUUCAAAAUCACACUGUUUUAGGAGACAAG